rnacentral:rRNA from 1 species
GACGAACGCUGGCGGCGUGCCUAAUACAUGCAAGUAGAACGCUGAAGGAGGAGCUUGCUCUUCUGGAUGAGUUGCGAAGGGGGGAGUAACGCGUAGGUAACCUGCCUGGUAGCGGGGGAGAACUAUUGGAAACGAUAGCUAAUACCGCAUAACAGUAGAUGUUGCAUGACAUUUACUUAAAAGAUGCAAUUGCAUCACUACCAGAUGGACCUGCGUUGGAUUAGCUAGUUGGUGGGGUAACGGCGCACCAAGGCGACGAUACAUAGCCGACCUGGGAGGGGGGUCGGCCACACUGGGACCGGGACACGGCCCAAGCUCCUUCGGGAGGCAGCCGGAGGGGAUCUUCGGGAAUGGGCGGAAGGCUGACCGGGGCACGCCGGGGGGGUGGAGAAGGGUUUCGGGUCGGAAAGCUCCGUUGUAAGGGAAGAACGAGUGUGGGAGUGGAAAGUUCACACUGUGACGGUACCUUACCAGAAAGGGACGGCUAACUACGUG